UCCCGCUGGUCGUCUACGGCUGUCAGAAUGAACGAUUUGGUGGCUGUGGCUCCGUUCUAAAUGUUGCCUCUGCUGACUUACCAAAUACGGGAAAACCAUUUCAGUGCAUCCCUGGAUAUCGGGCUGAGGAAGCUGUGGAACUGUUAAAGGCCUUCUACAAGCAAGAAAAUCCUAAUGCACCAAAAUCAAAAGUUCGGAAGAAGGAAUGUCAGAAAUCCUGAACUUGUAAUGAAAGACGAAAGCCCCAUGGUGACCUGGAUGGAAUCCCCAGCCUGAAAAGCUGCGGGCAUGGAGGGAGCAUAUAUUAUGUGUUUGUUAUUCUCCGGGAAGACGGAGAAUAACAUUUGCGCUCUUCAGGGAACAAAUUAGUGCUUUUUAAAAGGCUGACAAUUGUAAACAACUAUUAGCUUCUCCACAGCUGAAAGAACAUUUUUAUGAAGGGGGGGAAAACUAAAGUUUGAGGUUUUAGGAAUUAGCAAACAGUACAUGUCUUUAAGCCCCAGCUUCAGUCCAUGCCAGCUGAGUGCAGGCUGGGAUUUCAGUGUCCAUCCACACCCCAUCACCUGCACUCAUUUGGACUAGAAAGCCAUGGUCACGUGUGUUCUUUACAACUGGCUUUUUGGAGGUGGAGUUGGAUUUUCAUUCUUUAUAGCUGUUGUGGUCUCCCAGUGUAUUGGCUGCGUGAGUGUGAGUGUGUUUGUGUGUGUGUUGGCUUUAGGGCUUGAACUCAAGAUGUUGUUACUCUCUGGCUUUUUCGCUCAAACUUGAGUCACACCUCCAGUCCUAGCUUUAUGUUGGUUAACUGCAGAUGAGUCUCACGGACUUUUCCCCCCAG